AUGGCGAUGGCGGCCUACAGCAACCAAGCGCAGGCGAUGAUGAGGGACUACCUGCUCGCCGACCCGCUCGUCCCCUACACCUCCGUGCUCAUCGGCGUUUUCCUCUGCAAGAUGGCUUAUGACCUCACACGGAUAUUGAGCUCAUUCUACUUCAAGGGCUAUUCUUCUUUGACAAAAAUACAGCGUGUUGAAUGGAACAACAGGGGUAUGUCCAGUGCACAUGCGAUCUUUAUCGCAGCAGUAUCAGUAUAUCUUGUUGCAUCUACAGAUCUUUUCUCUGAUCGCCUUAAUGGGCCUAUUACAUUCCGCAGUUCGAUCAUCUCCACCUCUGCAUUAGGGGUUUCUGUGGGUUACUUCAUCACUGAUCUUGCAAUGAUCUUCUGGUUGUUUCCUUCCCUUGGUGGAAUGGAAUAUGUACUCCAUCAUACUCUUUCUCUGGUUGCAAUAGCCUACACAAUGUUGUCAGGGGAGGGGCAGUUUUACACAUACAUGAUUCUUAUUUCAGAAACAACCACCCCUGAAAUCAACAUGAGAUGGUUCCUUGACACCGCUGGAUUGAAGAAGUCGAGCGCCUACCUGAUUAAUGGUAUUUUGAUAUUUGUUGUAUGGCUGGUGGCAAGGAUAUUUUUGUUCCUGUAUGUAUUUUACCACAUCUAUUUGCACUACAGCCAGAUAAUGAAGAUGCACGCAUUUGGUUAUUACCUGACACUGACCGUGCCGUCGGUGCUCUUUGUCAUGAACGCAAUGUGGUUUACGAAGAUUUUGAAAGGGGUAAUGAAAACACUGUCGAAAUGGUCGUAA
rnacentral:rRNA from 1 species